AAGUUUGGUGUCAAUAGGCCAAAGCAAACUCAAGUUAUUGAGCGGAAACUGAAUUUCUAUUUUUAGUAACAUUAUUGAGCGGAAACUGAAUUUCUAUUUUUAGUAACAGUGACCUUGACCUUGAUCACAGACACCUGGGUAGCAAUCCCAAGCUGCCUCUUGAUAUAAGCUAUCCAUACACCAAGUUUGGUGUCAAUAGGCCAAAGCAAACUAAAGUUAUUGAGCGGAAACCAAAAGUUGACGCCCGCCCGCCCGCCGACUUCGGCAUUACAAUAACCCGGUUUUCGUUGAAAACCUGGUUAA